UAAUUUUUUCCAUAUUCUGCAACUUUGUGUUUAUUGGAAGGCGGACCACUGGGAAGCAGAGGUUCCCUAGUAGUUCCUCUUUGAAGCUGGGUCUCAGAAAUUGGUUUAUUUUGGGUGUAAUUUCUUUGUUCUUCUUGUUUAUCGGAUAGUCGCCCUCUGUUUAACUGGGUCUCAGGAAACGAUUUAUUUUGCUUAGAAUUUGUUCCAUAUCCUUCACGUGUGUCAUAUGGCUGCCUGGUGGCUAACUGUGGCCUGGCUUCACCAGUGGCACCCUUGUCAAACUGUGAAAGGGGGAACAUUUUCUUUUGGUUGUAGUUAGUUCCAUAUUCUUCUAGAGUAUUAGAUGUCUGACUAGUGUGCAACUGAGAUCCUGGUUCUGUGGUAGGUCUUUUGUUAAACUUGGAAUCAAGAGCCUGUUUUCUUUUGUUGAAAUUUGUUUUUCUUCAAGCAUGUUUGAUAGUUGUUGAGAGGGCAACACAGAACCUUUCUUAAUAUGUGAAUCACAGAACUGGUGUUUUUUGUUCUUAUUUGUUCCAUAUUCUUCUUGAGUAUUAGAUGGCUGACUAGUGUGCAACUGAGACCUUGGUUCUGUGGUAGAUUGUUUGUUAAACUUGGAGUCAGGGGCCUGUUUUCUCUGGUUUUGAUUUGUUUUCAAUUCUUCUAGAGUAUUAGAUGGCUGACUAGUGAGCAAUUGAGACCUUGGUUCUGUGGUAGAUCGUUUGUUAAACUUGGAUUCAGGAGCUGGUUUUCGUUGGUUGGAAUUUGUUUUCAAUUCUUCUAGAGUAUUAGAUGGCUGACUAGUGAGCAAUUGAGACAUUGGUUCUGUGGUAGAUCAUUUGUUAAACUUGGAUUCAGGAGCUGGUUUUCGUUGGUUGGAAUUUGUUUUUAAUUCUUCUUGAGUAUUAGAUGGCUGACUAGUAUGCAACGGAAACCUUG